rnacentral:rRNA from 1 species
AUACGGAGGGUGCAAGCGUUGUCCGGAUUUAUUGGGGUUAAAGGGUGCGUAGGUGGCGUGGUAAGUCAGUGGUGAAAGCCUGCAGCUCAACUGUAGAGGUGCCAUUGAUACUGACAUGCUUGAGUAUGGACGAGGUAGGCGGAAUUUGUGGUGUAGCGGUGAAAUGCAUAGAUACCACAAAGAACACCGAUAGCGAAGGCAGCUUACUGGACCAUAACUGACACUGAGGCACGAAAGUGUGGGUAGCGAACAGGAUUAGAAACCCUAGUAGUCC